GUGGGCAGGGUUGGGGUAGCGCAACUGAACUGAACUUCUGCACUGCUCUUCUGAACCAUUCUCAAAAUCUCACUUUAUUCAGAAAUUCCUCAAUUCGGACAUCUGUUCGCACUUUUCCGUCUGUUUGACCAGCACAGCUCACAUGGCAAUUUGGAUCCCUUAUUCUGUGCUCAACUGAUGCCAUUGGAUGGAAAAAAACUUGAGUGCGUGUUAUGGCGCGUUUCUGCCUAUGUGAGAUUUCUGAAAGCAGGUAAGCCACUGACUAACGCACAUUGCGCCUCUUGUCCAUUCCACUGUGCGUGUGACAGCGGCUAACCAGCUUUUGGACGCGCCUCAGACUUCAGCACUCGGACCGACUGUGGAGACCGCUUAAAUCGUCCUGCCGGAUGGCCGUAGCCCUCUCUCUUGGGUCUGUUCCCUCUCCAUUACAGUAGUGUAGCCUACGUGCCACAUGUCACAGUAACGCACUUCAUCCAUAGGCUGCCAUAGGAGGGUGCCAAGACAUACGGAAAGGUGACUGAACUAUCAUCUUAGGUUACCAUACCGUGUCUCUUACUUUCACGGGCGCACUGUGUAGUGUUUUAACUUUGCUGUAUUCUUCUUUUACUUAUGAACCUGACCCCUCCUUCAACCGUGUGAACUCUUCAACUCAGUAGAGUUACAGUAGGCUGACUUUAAUACUGGUGAUAAUGCACAUGCUGGUCACACUGUAAUGGCUGUGUCUUGAACAAAAAUGAUCAUUAAAGCUCAAAUGAAAAUUA